rnacentral:rRNA from 1 species
GACGGAGGAUGCAAGUGUUAUCCGGAAUCACUGGGCGUAAAGCGUCUGUAGGUGGUUUAAUAAGUCAACUGUUAAAUCUUGAGGCUCAACCUCAAAAUCGCAGUCGAAACUAUUAGGCUAGAGUAUAGUAGGGGCAGAGGGAAUUUCCGGUGGAGCGGUGAAAUGCAUUGAGAUCGGAAAGAACACCAACGGCGAAAGCACUCUGCUGGGCCGACACUGACACUGAGAGACGAAAGCUAGGGGAGCAAAUGGG